ACAAAAGAAGGGAUAUUGUGAAAAACCUCACAACCCAUGAAGAAGGUGUGGCCCAAAUCCUGUUGGCAAGCAUGAAAAUCAUCUCCUGUGUCUGAUUAGGCUGCCGAGCAGAAGUUGACCUUGUAUCAUCAGACCUGUCUGUUGACUGUCAUUUGUCUCUGCAGACCUUAGGAAUUUGCUAUGGAGUGCCUUGUUGCCAGCGCUCACCUUGUUAACAUUAAGCGUGAACUUUGGGUGCUGAUGGAUAUACUCAGGGGGCAAUAUAACACAGAACUUCAAAGCCCAGGAGACAGCUCAAGAGAAAUGAAGAUAACAGUUAAGCCAAGAAAGCUGGAAACCCUUCGUGGCUCCAGGCAGAGUUCUCCACAGCCACCCUGAGGCCCGCAGGAGUUCCCAUUACAUUGAAUUAAUAUAUUUCUGAAAAGAAAGCACUGUGAAGUGUUCACUCCAGAAAGCAAGGGAAUUCAGGGUGAGUCAUAUCCUCCUGGACUUGACGCUAACCUUCCAGUUUCUUGCUCAAUGCUCCAAGGAGAAAGGAUUUUCUUUUCUGUGAAAGUGAAUAAAAGUGUCUGUUGGUUGAAAACUUUCCUCUUUGCAAGUCAUCCUUUUUCAGUCAGGACAUGAGUCUUGCCUUCAGUGCAGCUGCUGAAAUGCCAAGCAUGUUCAGGAAACAGGUCAGAGACAGGGAGGGACAUUUUGAUCUGUCUUUCAGAAGACCAGUUGAUAUUUUUUCUGAGAAUGUUAUGAAAUGACAAGAAGAGUCAAGUUUCUGAAAUUUAGGUAAAAAAUUAACCCUUGGAAAUAUACAGCAACAGCAUCACUGAGGCACAAGCUUUACAUUGAGGGAGGUUAAUG
rnacentral:sRNA from 1 species